rnacentral:lncRNA from 1 species
AACCUCAGUCUGGGCGAUCUGCUGGUAUCCCUGUUCGGAGUCACCUUCACCUUCGCGUCGUGCCUGCGGAACGGCUGGGUGUGGGACGCCGUGGGCUGCGCGUGGGACGGGUUUAGCGGCAGCCUCUUUGCUCAACAGGGCAUCUCACAGUGGGGGAAAGAAACCAGGGCCUGUAGAGUCCAGAGAUGCAAGAAAAAAGUCAACUCUUGAAGAGUGGAGGCGGGGACAAGGAAAGAUUUAAUUAAUAAAUGAAGUAUUUGUUUCUUAAA